ACAUAUUCUAAACAAAUGACUUUCAAGUAGCAGUAGCAGGUGUUUUGAACCUUCUCACAUGUCAAAAUCCCUGGAGCUACUAAGGCCAAAUAGGCAGUUCUCUGAGUUCCAACCAGAAGAAUGACUAGUUAGGAUGUGAAAGGAAAUGGGAAACAUCACAAAGUAAUGUGCACUGCUAGGAGGGAAACAUCAGAAUAGUAAAAGCAAAGGAUAGCAGAAAAAUAACUAGCCCGAAACAGAACUGCCUGCUAGUUCAAUGGAAUGCAAUCAAACAGGCACCAACAAGCAGAUCCCAUCCUUAGGCAUGAUCCAUUCCUGAGCAGUUGGAAUCACAUGUUGUAUUUUAAUCUUACCUUCAAUGAAUAUUAAACAACAAUAAAAAAGAGUGUGAAGACAACAGAUCUCCACCCGUACUAGAAAAAACAUUACUAGGUGCUGCCCCUAUCUUUUGGUAUAUUCACACUUAGUCCUUUGUCUAGGCCUGCCUGGAGAAAACAAAGUCUGUGGAACCUGGAUCUGCUCCCUCUAUUGCACACCAUUUCAGAAAGGCCUUCCACAUUGUUCCAUAAAUUCUAUUUGUAAUCACGUCAAGAAGAAUGGUCUCCAACACCACACUGCACAAUCCGCAUGGAGUCAACCAUUGCUGCUCAGCCUCCAAGGUGUUAAGUGGAAGAGGGCGGCUGGGGGUAAACAACGGAACCCUGAAGCAGCAAGUCUUGUCUCUCUGGGAGCCUCCAUGGUUUCUGGAGUGACAGGUUUAGUAAGUCCGGGAACUAUGGCCUCUGUGGCCAAUGAGCAAUCAGGACAAUUUAUUUAUUCAUGUAUUUAUUACAUUUAUAUACCACCCCAUAGCCAAAGCUCUCUGGGCGGUUUACAAAAGUUAAAAACAUUGAACAUUAAAAAAUAUAUAUAAAAAUUUAAAAACCAUACAAAGUUUAAAACCAUGAGAUAAACAAAGUAAAAAACCUGGGGUCAAAGCUCAGCACAUGCUGUUAGAAUGCCUGGGAGAAAAGGGAAGUCUUGAUCUGGCGCUGAAAAGAUAACAAUGUUGGUGCCAGGUGAACUUCAUUGGGGAGAUCAUUCCAUAAUUUGGGGGCCACUACUGAAAAGGCCCUCUCCCUUGUUGUAAUUUCAGCCUGCUCCCCAUAUCUGCUGUACCAGGAGGUUGAAUGAGGUUGAAUGAUGGAAAAGAAUAAAGAAGCCCCUUUGGCCAAUGGCUAGAGCAUGCUAUACUGGCAAAGAACUGAAGAACUUGAUGGUUGUUCUGAGAGGCAAACAGAUGUACUGCAGGCCAAGCCCACCUGUGUGCCACCUACUGGAAAACCUCUGGGUUCAGCUGCCACUCUGCCUCCUGAAUAUGAAAAUGGUUCAGCCAAUCCGCCAUUUGAUUUUGAAGACCAUCCAGAUAUUCUGCCUUGAGGGAUGCCAGAUGUCUCUCUGCCCACCUGAACAGCUUCAACAUCAACAUUCUCAAAUGAGUCCUCCAUUGUGGACACACAAUUUCAUUGAGGAGCUGCUGCUGUGUAUAAAAGGGUGUGACCCUUUGACCUCUGACUGAAAAUGAUGCAGUGUCAGGUGGAUAGCCCUCGGUUCCAACACAUUUAUUCUGUACUGUGAUUCAUGUGGGGGCCACUCUCCCUCAGACGCUACCCUCUGUCCCAGGCAAGAUCCCCUCCCAAACAGAUUGGCAUCUGUGGUCAACACCAGAUGGAAUGGUUUCUCCAGUGACACUCACUCCAAAGGUCUCUGCAGAGCCAGACACCAAGACAAUUCCUCUUUCAGUGCUUCAAAGACCUCCAUCUUCAUUUUUACCUAGAGAGCUACUUCCUCUUACAAAGACAACAGCAGCUUUAUCAAGUCCCUGGAGUGGAACUGGGCCCAACCAACUAGAUUGUAAGCUGAAACCAUCAAGUCCUGCAGGUGCACCAGUGACAUUAACUCCACCUGAUGAGCCUGCAUGACAGCUAAAAUUGCAGCACACAAAUCAGAAUCCUUUCCUGAGUCAGAGUCAACAACACACAGAAAGGUAACAGAAGAGGAGCAACUGAAUCCCACAGACAAAAAAGUCCUAUUGCUUUUAAAAUGAAGUCUGAUAUUUGGAGAGUUUCCUUCCUCUCUCACCUGUUUCCCCCUUAAAAUAUCAAAAAAGCACAGUAAAGAGGGAAUAAAUAGGCAACACUAAGGCCUACCUAGUGGAUGAAAAUGGAAAUGGCCUGCCUUCAAGUCGAUCCCGACUUAUGGUGACCCUAUGAAUAGGGUGUUCAUGGUAAGCAGUAUUCAGAGGGGGUUUACCAUUGCCUCCCUCUGAGGCUAGUCCUCCCCAGCUGUCUAGGGCCUGCUGAGUUUGCCACAGCUGCACAAGCCAGCCCCUUCCUUGUCCACAACUGCCAGCUGGGGGGCAACUGGGCUCCUUGGGACUAUGCAGCUUGCCCACGGCUGCACAGGUGGCAGAGCAUGUAACCCCUGAGCAACUCACUGUGGGGGUGAUCUUUAGCUGGCCCUUGACACCCAGGAGACACGAGCAGACUCUGGACUCCCAGCCAGGCUCUCCUCCCCACUGUGCUAUAGUAGUGUGAAAUAUAGCAACAGACAACAUAGGCAUGAAAGGUUUUCAUGAGUUCUCCUUUAUAACACAUUCUGAAAUUCUUAUCUUGAGACUAAUUACCAUUUUAGAGAAAAGGAGACUAAUGAUUUUUUGUUCAGUCAUCCUGUCAAUUGUAUGUAGAGCCUGAAACAUGGAAGGGAGAUGUGCACUGUGGGCAUCCGUCUUUCUUUUGCUUUUAUGAAGCUAAGAAGGAGGCCUUUUCAAGCUAAUGCAAAUAUAUUCUGAGAUGUCCUGUAAUACACCAAAUCCACCUCUCUGAAAGGAUCAUCUAUAGUAACUCAAGGAGCCAUGUGAUAUAACACUAUGAUAACAUUUUCAAGCUAGAGGUUGUAACAAUACCUCUAGUUGCCACCAUGCUUUGUAACCACAACUCAAAGCUUAGAUUUUAUGCUGAUAUACAAUACUGAAUAAUUUCAAAUACAUGCCUUUCUUUUGGUUUCUAUGAAAACUGGGUGAUUUCUAUGAAAAUUCUAACCACAAAUUCCUCUCCCUAAAAGUACCAACCCAGACCCUGCUCUCAGCAUCAGGGGUCCCUUUUUCAGACAAAGGAUAGACAAUGCAGUGUCAUAGAAUAAUAGAAUUGUAGAGUUGGAAGGGGUCUAUAAGGCCAUUGAGUCCAACCCCUUGCUUAAUGCAGAAAUCCAAAUUAAAGCAUACCUGACAGGUGGCUGUCCAGCUGCCUCUUGAAGACCUUUAAUGUUGGAGAGCCUGCUACCUUCCUAGAUAAUUGGUUUCACUGUUGUACUGCUCUAACAAUUACAAAGUUUUUCCUGAUGCUCAGUUGAAACUGAACUGGCUUCCUGUAAGUUGAGCCCAUUAUUCAGUGUCCUGCAUUCUGGGACGAUCAAGAAGAGAUCCUGGCCCUCCUCUGUGUGAUAACCUUUCAAGUACUUGAAGAGUGCUUUCAUAUCUUCCCUCAGUCUUCUCUUCUCAAGGGUAAAUGCACCCAGUUCUUUCAGUCUCUCCUCAUAGGGCUUUUCCAGUCCCCUGAUCAUCCUUGUUGCCCUCCUCUGAACUCGUACCGGUUUGUCUGCAUUCUUCUUACAGUGUGGCGUCCAGAACUGGACACAGUACCAAAAUAAAGCCUAACUAGUGCCAAAUAGAGGAGAAUCAAUAUUUCACGCAAUUUGGAAACAAUACAUCUGUUAAUGCAGCCUAAAAUAGCAUUUGCCUUUUUUUUACAGCCACGUCACACUAUUGGCUCAUAUUCAGCUUGGCUCAUAUUGUGAUCAACAAUAAUCCCAUUUUAUUGUUUUAUUGUAAUAUGAUCUGUUUUUAAAUAUGUAUUCUGUAUUUUCUUAUAUUUGUUUAAUUGUGGUGGCCUAUGGCUUUGAACA